rnacentral:miRNA from 1 species
CCGUGCUGCUGGGCGGUGACCCGCGGGCUCUCGGGCGGCGAUGGGGACUGUACUCUGGGACUCCGCUGGGUGACGGCCGCGUCCUCCUGGCCGCUUGCACUUGGGGAUC